rnacentral:ribozyme from 1 species
GUAGAUAUCGUUCUUUUUCAUUUUUUUAAACUUUUUUUUUUUCUUCUUUUUGCUUCUAUCUUUCUUUCAUUAGUAACACUCAAGAGAGAUACCAAUGCUACAUUCA